GGGUUGUGAGGUUAAGCGACUAAGCGUACACGGUGGAUGCCCUGGCAGUCAGAGGCGAUGAAGGGCGUGCUAAUCUGCGAUAAGCGCCGGUAAGGUGAUAUGAACCGUUAUAACCGGCGAUACCCGAAUGGGGAAACCCAGUGUGACUCGUCACACUAUCAUUAACUGAAUCCAUAGGUUAAUGAGGCGAACCGGGGGAACUGAAACAUCUAAGUACCCCGAGGAAAAGAAAUCAACCGAGAUUCCCCCAGUAGCGGCGAGCGAACGGGGAGGAGCCCAGAGCCUGAAUCAGCAUGUGUGUUAGUGGAAGCGUCUGGAAAGGUGCGCGAUACAGGGUGACAGCCCCGUACACAAAAGCGCAUGUGCUGUGAGCUCGAUGAGUAGGGCGGGACACGUGGUAUCCUGUCUGAAUAUGGGGGGACCAUCCUCCAAGGCUAAAUACUCCUGACUGACCGAUAGUGAACCAGUACCGUGAGGGAAAGGCGAAAAGAACCCCGGCGAGGGGAGUGAAAAAGAACCUGAAACCGUGUACGUACAAGCAGUGGGAGCCCCACCACUAAGCCAGUGGUGAACUCCACAUCCGCAUCCUUUGCUGAGGAUACGGUUAACGGAGCGAAAGCGACGUUCAACCGCAAAACAAGCAGAGGGGGCUUAGUGGUGGGGUGACUGCGUACCUUUUGUAUAAUGGGUCAGCGACUUAUAUUCUGUAGCAAGGUUAACCGAAUAGGGGAGCCGGAGGGAAACCGAGUCUUAACCGGGCGUUAAGUUGCAGGGUAUAGACCCGAAACCCGGUGAUCUAGCCAUGGGCAGGUUGAAGGUUGGGUAACACUAACUGGAGGACCGAACCGACUAAUGUUGAAAAAUUAGCGGAUGACCUGUGGCUGGGGGUGAAAGGCCAAUCAAACCGGGAGAUAGCUGGUUCUCCCCGAAAGCUAUUUAGGUAGCGCCUCGUGAAUUCAUCUCCGGGGGUAGAGCACUGUUUCGGCUAGGGGGCCAUCCCGGCUUACCAACCCGAUGCAAACUGCGAAUACCGGAGAAUGUUAUCACGGGAGACACACGGCGGGUGCUAACGUCCGUCGUGAAGAGGGAAACAACCCAGACCGCCAGCUAAGGUCCCAAAGUCAUGGUUAAGUGGGAAACGAUGUGGGAAGGCCCAGACAGCCAGGAUGUUGGCUUAGAAGCAGCCAUCAUUUAAAGAAAGCGUAAUAGCUCACUGGUCGAGUCGGCCUGCGCGGAAGAUGUAACGGGGCUAAACCAUGCACCGAAGCUGCGGCAGCGAACGUAUCACCCAAGACAACUUUACGGAGUUGACGAUUGACGGAGCGAAGCGACGUCAAAGCGUUCAUUAAAGUCGAGUUGGCUUAGGGAUACGUUCGUUGGGUAGGGGAGCGUUCUGUAAGCCUGUGAAGGUGUGUCGUGAGGCAUGCUGGAGGUAUCAGAAGUGCGAAUGCUGACAUAAGUAACGAUAAAGCGGGUGAAAAGCCCGCUCGCCGGAAGACCAAGGGUUCCUGUCCAACGUUAAUCGGGGCAGGGUGAGUCGACCCCUAAGGC
rnacentral:rRNA from 1 species